AAAGGAUGUGGUGUCCUGCCACAGCCACAGCCACCGCCAACGCCGCCGUCGCUCCUCUCUGCCGCCGACGCCGCCGCCGCCGCCGCUAACGCUACCGCUAACGUCGUCACCGCCACCGCAGCGGCCGCCCGACGCCGUUUUUCUAUUGUUAUCAACAGACGACAACGCGCCGACUGCGGCGCACCGGUAGGCGCAGUGGUGGUGGUCGUCCGUCGUCGCCGGCCGCGCUUUCAUAAAACGCGACCACGCCGCCGCCGCCGCACACGCGUCGUGUUGGCCACGAGAGAAACGUGUCGACACCGCUGCCGCUGCCGUCGUCGUCGUCGUCCGAUGUCUCUUGUUUUCGACGCGUCGCACGUUGAACGACGAUCACAUCACAGAGAAUCAGUUCAGCUUGGAAUGAUGUUUAACCACAGUAUAUUUUAAAGGAAACAAAUUGUUUUUUACGUUAUACUAUGGCCAUUCUCCAAUCUUGCUGUUGUUUUCAAUCUCUUAGAACGGGAUGUUAUGCCAGCGUCAUUUAUGCAAUGGCAUAUUUUAGUUUAAAUACUAGCAUACUGGGAUCAUUUAUACAUCUUGAAAGACCAUAUUGGACUGGGAAUGGAACCGCUCCGCAAAGCAAAAGUUUCCUAGAACCAGAAAAAAUUUCUGAAACUACAGUGGUUUUUCAUAUGGUAGUUUUGGUGUGCGCAGGAUGCGGUAUCCUGACCAGUAUCGUGUUGUUGAUAGGAAUUUAUUUUGAUCUCAGAGUUCUAUUCGUACCUUGGAUAUUUGCAAUGAUCUUAGCAACUACUGUUGAUGUCGCACAUUCUAUAUAUUUAUAUGGACUUGAUACGGUUGAAUUCAAUCCGCCGACAGCAAUUUUGUAUACUAUUGAUUUUUUCCUACUAAUUUUAAACCUGUACGCGGUACUCUGUGUGAUAUCUCAAUAUCAAGAACUAAUGGCGGGCAGAGGUACUGCGCGUUUUGAACAAACCUUGAAGAUAUCACCAGUGAGGUACACAUGCCAGCCGACAGGCACCAGUUGUCUAAGUUCGAGGCGACCUGCUACUCUGCCAGCGUCACCAACGCAGAGUCCCACGAAGACCACAGUAACCGCUACAGCGAGUUCAGUAGUGAUUGCAAGUGGUGGAACGUCCUCGGGUUCACGCAGGGGUUCCAGGAAACAUGUCCAGUUCCCGGAUUUCGAUGCUCCCAAUUUAAAGUCCUCGGACCUGUUGCACGCGAACUGGAAGCAAGGAUCAUCGCCGCCGCCCGAACAGGGAACCGUGACACCCACAGGUUAUAUAUGAACUGGUGCAACUCAUUUAAGGACAUUUAAAAUACUUUCACUUACCCUUCAACAAUUAUCGAGUCAACAGCUGCUAAUCGCUGACAACCGGCCAAGCCAUUUACAAGCCGAACUGCUGCAGAUAUCCACACAAGAUUGUUCAAAAAAGUUUACAAUAGAUCUUUAGACUUGAUUCAGGAGUACAUUUUUAAGCGGUGUCACACAUCCAAUAUAGCCUUAUUAUAUAAUUUAAUAUACAAUAUUAUACAUUAUGUAAUAUUUUCUUUGAUAAUAUAAAACUUUUAUUGUGUGACAAAACAUUA